GGAAACGAGGAGAAUCGCGAGUCGCGCGAUAUUUGAACGGGCGGCGGGAGGGGGGGCCGCGUAGACACACCUUCCCCCCCCCCAUCACCUGAAUCUCCUCCCGCUUCCCUUUUCCCGGGCUGUUCCAAAGGCACAUCCUUUCCUCCCACCCACCCCCACAACCACACCUGUGUGGAUCCUCUGUGCGCGUGGCUGGAAAGAUGAGGGUGCUUGUGUGGAGGGGUCCAGAGUAACAUGUUUACCCUUUGCUUUUAAAAGAAAUGAAAACUUUUCUCCAGCGGAAAGGUUCAGAAAGCCACCUAGAAUACUACUACUACUACUACUACCACUACUACUACUACUACUACUUCUUCUUCUACAAAUUCUACACUGAAAAGUUCCACAAGUUUGACAAAAAUUUGCAUGACACCAUCUAGAAGUUCUUUACCCAAUCAUAGACAUAACCAUCUUGGACCAGGAGCCCCCCAUCACAAAGCAAGAACAUCCAAUAGUAAACGAGCAUAGGAAGGAAGAUGGAAGAAAGGCACUCAGCAUCAGUUGUCCGCCACAUUCAGCAUAACAUCAGCGUUGAAAUUCCAGAUCCCUGCAUUAUGCAGUCAGCUCUGAAGAAUUCCUCAGAAGGAUAUGCUAAUCCCUCAGAGAGUAGGACUAUAGUAAGACUAUAGUAGAAGACAAUUAUCAUGUCUUUUCACAGCCUUUUUUCUGCAGACUAAACACAUUCAAUGGCUUCCAAGCAUUCUCCCUAUCAUUUCCUUUCCAGCCUUCUUAACAUCUUGGUUGCUCUCAAUAAAUAACUGUACAAGAUGGUAAAAGAGCAAUCAAUACUUAUAAAUGGAAAUAGUUUAUGGGGAGAAUAAAUAACAUUUUUCCCACCCCUUCCUUCAAUAAUGUCAAGGAUGCACUGCAUAAUGCCAUUCUUAGAAAAUGGAAUGGCUCAGCAUUUUAACACAUUUAGAAUCAUACUAUAUUCUCGAUCCGCCUGAAAACAUUAUGUGUGACAAGGCUUUGCUGUUUAGUCCUCUGAAGAAAAAAAACAGAGUUUUUAUACAAAUUAAUUCUAACUGAAUCUGGCUAUAAUAGUGGAGAAAAUUAACCCUUUGCCUCCUUCAUCCUGAGAAGAUCUGAACAUAAAGGAUAAUUGUGGAGAGAGGGAGAAAUGCCUAGCUGAAUACUUUUCUUCCUUAAAACUGCAGAAAUACUGUAGAGCUUAAUUGCACUUGAGUAAAGGCCCUUCUGCAGGAUUGUUCUGCACCAUUUGAGGAUUGACUGGUGUCACACUACCACCUGUUUCAGGGAGCUACGUCUAUUGUUUCUCUGCACCAGUUGAUUGGCAGCUGCAAUAAAGGUGGUGGGUUUUGUAAAUGA